rnacentral:rRNA from 1 species
GACGAACGCUGGCGGCGUGCCUAAUACAUGCAAGUUGAGCGCUGAAGGCUUGUACUUGUACCAACUGGAUGAGCAGCGCACGUGUGAGUAACGCGUGUGGCAUCUGCCUUUGAGCGGGGGACCACCUUUGGACACGAAUUAUAAUACCGCAUAAAAACCUUAAACACAGUUUUUAAGUUUAAAAGUUGCAAUUGCGGCAGUUGAGGAUGAACUCGCGGUGUAUUAGCUUGUUGGUGGGGUAGCGGCUCACCAAGGCGUUGACGGGUAGCCGGCCUGAGCGGGUGACCGGCCACAUUGGGACUGAGAUACGGCCCGGACUCCUACGGGAGGCAGCAGUGGGGAAUAUUGCACAAUGGGCGGAAGCCUGAUGCAGCAACGCCGCGUGCGGGAUGACGGCCUUCGGGUUGUAAACCGCUUUCGCCUGUGACGAAGCGUGAGUGACGGUAAUGGGUAAAGAAGCACCGGCUAACUACGUG